rnacentral:lncRNA from 1 species
CUGCCCCGCCCCGCCCCGCCCCGCCCCCGAGCGCUCGCGUCUGAAAUGUUAAUGCUGCGCAGCUUCCUUCGGGGCCAGAAUCGAGUCGCGGAAAGGCCGCGGAAGCCUCCGGGAUUAAUGAACAAACCGGCUUUUGGCCUGGGCGGGAACAGGGUAAACAUCGUGGGUCCAAGAGGGGCAGGUGCGCGGAGACAGACGCGGGUAAAUGAUUACACAGCCCGGGCCACGCGCUUUAGAAAGGCGGCUUUGGGGGCGCCCGGGCGGCUCAGCGGUUAGCGCCGCCCUCUGCCCAGGGCGUGACCCCGGGUCCGGGAUCGAGUCCCGCGUCGGGUCCCCGCAGGGAGCCUGCUGCUCCCUCUGCCCGGGACUCCGCCUCUCUCUGGGUCUCUCAUGAGUAAAUAAGAAUCUUAAAAAAAAAAAGAAAAAAGCUGCUUUGUGCACCGACCCCAGGAUUUGGUGUUCUCCCCACGAGAAGGCCCGCAUUUGCACCCUCAGCCCAGGGCCCGGGGGCGCCCCCCUCCGCUCGCGCCGGCGCAGAGGACCUGCGGGCAGGUGGACGCGCGGCGCUCGGGAGGAGCCAAGGCCGGCCCGCCCAGGCGAUAGUUUGUCGGGGUUCUUGCCCGAAUACCAUGCAGUCGGAUCCGCUGCCCAGCCCGCGCUGGCGGUGGCAACAGUCCCGGACCCCGUGGGGCGUCCGCACCCGCGCGCAGCGCCCGAAGCCCACCAGGAGCAACCCGUGAUGCCCAAGUCAGCGACGUGCUCCUCUCCAGAACGGGGGCAUCGCACGCUCCCCCCUGUCCUCGCAGAGUGCAAGCAAACGGGAUUUGGGAUCCCGGUUGUACAAGUAGGACUCCACGUGCCGCAGGCUCCGCUGGGCGGCCUGGGGGGGGGCGCGGAGGUGACCUGGGCACCACCGUGAUCCUGGAACGCGGCGGGUGUCUGCACAAUUCCCCAACUUCCGUAUUUAAUCCACUAAAUCCUCCUCCCAGGCACAGCCUGGUCUUCCAAAAGCUUUUGCCCCAAGCUGGGAAAACCCAAUAAAGGAAUGAUCAUUUUUCA